UUAUCAUCACCAGUAUUUGUCAUCUGUCAGUUAAAACAUACUGGUAAAUAUUCAGAUUGAAACUGAAAUGUUUCUCUUUAUGCAGUCUGAAGAACAACUGUUUUUACAGAAGGAGGUUGUCAUGUUCUGGCUGCAGCUCUAAAUUCAAACCCUCAAAUCUGACAGAGCUGGAUCUGAGUGAGAAUAAACUAGGAAACCCAGGAAUGAAAAUCAUCUUGACUCUGUUUGAAAAUGUAAAAGUGUAGACUGGAAAAGCUGAAGUUAAACUGCAUCAGUAUUACAGCUGAAGGUUGUGCUGCUCUGGCAUCAGCAUUUAAUUCAAACCUCAAAGAGCUGGAUCUGAGCAGGAAUCAAUUAGGAGACUCUGGAGUGACAGAAAUCUCCAGUCUGCUGAGAAAUUCACAGACACUACAGAUACUCAGGUCUGAAUUUGGUUAAUUUAAACAUAAAUCAAUGUAAAGCUCCAGCCGGUCUGUAAACUGGUGCUGUGUCACAAGGAAUGGGUCAUUAAUGUGAAAUUGGUGUGUUGGUGUAGAUACAUUUAUAACAUAUUGACAAACAGAUUGAUUUUUGAGGUGAUGGGAAAUGUUAAUAUCAUAAUAGUGUAUUAAAUGUUUUUAAUGUGACUUAUUUAUUUAGUCUUUCUGAAGACUUUCAGACUGCAGUAUCACUAAAGAAGGUUAUAAUACAGUUGCAAUCAAAUUAUUCAACCCCCCUUGUGGUGCAAAACAUUUUGCUGCAGAGAACAACAUUUUAUAAAAACAAUUCAACAAAGGCAUCAGUAAAGUAUUAGAGAAAGUUUGUUAAUAUACUUUUGAAUGAGUCUGAGAAUGUAACAUUGAUGAAUCAUGAUGAAAUUCAAAUUGGAUCUAAACAUUUGUUCAAAUUGUGUGCAGAAUCUUUUAUUCUUUAAAAUCACCAAGAAACACUGCCUUUAAGUGUUUAGAAGUUUCUGUCACCUCUCUACUACAGUCUUGGCCCAUUCCUCGCCUGAAAAAGCUUCCAGAUCACUGAUAAUCUUUGGUUUUCACAAUGCCACAGCUUUCCUUAAAUUCAACCAGAUAUUUUCAAUGAGAAUUAAAUCUGGAGACUGAUUAAGCCACUCAAGAACAUUCUAUGACUGAUCCCUGAACCAAGCAGAAGUAGAUUUGGAUGAUGUACUUUGGGAUGGCUGUCCUGCAGGAAAGUCCAUUGAUCAUCAGCUUCAGUCUUUGCACCAAAGGAAUCACAAUUCUUGUCAAAAUGGCCUGAUACUUUAAAGAAUCCAUAAUGUCCUUCAUACAGUCAUGAUUUCCACUUCCUGCUACAGUAAAACACCCCCAUAACAGGCCUGAUCCACUUCCAAGUUUGACGAAG
rnacentral:lncRNA from 1 species